UACGAAAGGGCACUCUAAUGAGACUGCCGGUGACAAACCGGAGGAAGGUGGGGAUGACGUCAGGUCCUCAUGGCCCUUAUGGGUAGGGCUACACACGUCAUACAAUGGCCGGUACAGAGGGUUGCCAACCCGCGAGGGGGAGCUAAUCCCAGAAAACCGGUCGUAGUCCGGAUCGUAGUCUGCAACUCGACUGCGUGAAGUCGGAAUCGCUAGUAAUCGCGGAUCAGCUUGCCGCGGUGAGUACGUUCCCGGGUCUUGUACACACCGCCCGUCACACCAUGGGAGCGGGUUCUGCCAGAAGUAGUUAGCCUAACCGCAAGGAGGGCGAUUACCACGGCAGGGUUCGUGACUGGGG
rnacentral:rRNA from 1 species